rnacentral:rRNA from 1 species
CAGUAGCCGCGGUAAUACGAGGGGGGCAAGCGUUGUUCGGAAUUAUUGGGCGUAAAGGGUGCGUAGGCGGUUUGAUAAGUCUUGUGUGAAAUCUAUGGGCUCAACCCAUAGUCUGCACAGGAAACUGUCAGGCUUGAGAGUGGGAGAGGUGAGUGGAAUUUCCGGUGUAGCGGUGAAAUGCGUAGAUAUCGGAAGGAACACCUGUGGCGAAAGCGGCUCACUGGACCAUUUCUGACGCUGAUGCACGAAAGCUAGGGGAGCAAACAGGAUUAGAUACCCCCGUAGUCCCUGUCUCUUAUAC